AGCACUUUGGAUAAGUAGAUGUGCUAGAUAUUGGAUAUAAGACACCUGGUUUGCUAAAACACAGCAUCUGCCUGUUUGUAGCUUACAAAUCUGCAAGCUCAAAGAUUCUGUCCUUUAGGCUUUAAAAAAAAAUGGAUUCAUAAGUUUAGCAACCAGUGGGCACCAGCUCCAGGAGCACUUGAUUUUUGGAGUAAAGCAGCACGAGCGGCUGCCUUGGCGUCUCGCAGAAGCCGAGACAGAAGCUGAGGGACAGGACAACAGGCAGGUGGGGAAGCCAAUUUCCGCCUGAGCGAGCCAAUCGGCUAAGCGUAUCCGUGCAGGUCAAUCCACAGUCCGGCAGAAUAAUUCUCUUGCCUUAGAAAACAAACACCAGAGAGAAGGUCAGGAAAAUUUAGCCCCGAACCAGUUCUAUCACCAACAAACUGGUUGACCCAGGGAAAAAAACCUCUCCAAGCCUCUGUUUACUCAUUUCAAAUUCAGAGCAUCAGACGAAAUGAGUGGUACUUAAUUAGUGCUACCUAUAUUGGAGGUAGAACACUGGAAUAGUGUAGAUGGUGCAGGAUUUUUUUUUUUUUUAAGCAAUUACAGCCAUUAACAAAAUGCCUGACAACUCAUAAAUAUAGCUGGGGGGGGUGGGGGUAUAUGAUUGUUAUCACAUUAGAUCGCUGUUGUUUAACCGAGUGUUUAUCCAGUGGGUUAGAUUCAUUUGUUCAUUGAGCAGUUGAGUACACUGGCUAUGUCAUGGGCCUGGACUGGGAAUAGAAACUGCCCUUGUCCUCAAAUGGGGCUUACAUGUAACCAGUGAAAUCAGUCAUAGGUUACAGGAGGAGGCAUGGAGUCUUUUUUCCUCCAAAUACGAACCCCUGUGCUGAAUCUGAUAUGCCGCCGUGGACCUGGUGAUGGAGAUCCCUACCUCCCGACUCCUUACCGCCAGCUCCUUACACCCCUUUCCCACUGGCUGGAAAAUUCUCCAGCAGUUGCCCAAGUCGCCGACACCCCUGGUUUCCGUGGCAGCAGAGGGAUCUGCUUCGAGCGCUUUCGGCUUCCUGUAGGUGGAGCCAAACCCCCUGACUGAGAGGCUGCGGCCCGCUCCCUCCGCAGCCCCCGGCGGGCACUUCUCAAUCCACCUCCUUCCCUCUCUCUCCUCUCUUGUGCGGUCCCUUCCACAUCCCCACCAACCGAGUGCGUCGGAGGGGAAAUCGUGCCAGACUUUGGAGACGGCUGCCAGGUUUCUCUCAAGUCUUGGCUUAACAAAGGAAAGCAAAUUACAAAAAUGGAAAUUUUCAAACCAGCGUUCAGUGGUAUUCAGCUCGACGUUUGGGUAGCGCACAGGCAGAGACCGCAUUCGUGCUAUUUUGUGAUUUAAAUGAUACCGAAAAUACCUCCUUGCUUGGGUUUUCUUCUUCCAAAACGACUUCUUUCCCUCUUCGAAUUUCCCUUUCUUCGGAGAGCCGCAGCCCCCUGACCACUCUGGAACUGUUAACAUCUGUGGAAAUCUUGCCUCUGCUGACUUUUUUCUCAAGAGUUGAACUUUAAAAAUGCCUGCGCUUUGCAGCCUGGAGAAAUCCAGAUAAAGAAGUUUCUAGGCACUUUCCCAGGGACUCCUGCGUUUCGUGUGGGGAACUCCGAGUUCUAUGACAGAGCAUAAAUCGUCUUUUCAUUUCGUCUCCAUGCGCGGACAGCACCUGAAUGUGAAACUUGCCAGAAACACGUGCUACCUUGUUCUCCCUUCAACUUGAAUGGUGUGAUCUGUCUCAUCCUUAAAAAAUGGUUUUAAAGUGGCCGCUGAGUUGGGUCUGGAAUGGUCUUACUUCACGGUGAAGUUUUUUUCUUAAAAAAAAAAAAAAAUCCUGAUCAUAUCCUUCUUGCUCAUUUUUGUUGUUGCUAGACAGGCCUUGUCCCAAGUGGGUUUGUGAGAAAGGCACUUCCAUUGUUUGUUCCCCCCCAGACUGUAUCAUUUCUUUCCUUGGAAGCUUUGUCUCCUUCUUACACAGCUGUGUUUGCGGUGCCUGGAGACAGGUGGGGGGAGCAGCCUCCAGGUCCAAGCUGCCAAUUCUCUCUCUAAGGACUGUCUGAAUAGCUAUUAAAAUUUAAAGAUCACACACAAACACACACACACACAUUUUUUUUUUUGGUGGCGGUCACUCACUACAUCUGACUGUUGUGUAGGGACAGCUGUACCAAUUAGCCAGACUGAGACUAGAAGUCACAGCCAUUCUAUUGUCUGUAUUCUCCAGUCCACAGAAGCAUUACCUUGGGCCAUGGCCACAUCUUUCUUUCUUUUCUUUUCGUUUUUUUUGGCCACACGGCAUGAGGGAAUCUUAGUCAGGGAUUGAACCCAUGCCCCCUUAAGUGGAGGGUCGAUUCCUAACCACUGGACUACCAGGGAAGUCUGAUGGUCACAUCUUUCUAGGCACUUUCGAGGCUACGUGUCCUGUAGCCUUGGCCCAGUGAUGGGACUGAUUAUGACUGUGGGAGAGAGGACCGCUCAUCUCAAUAUGUAAACAUGGGCAAUCUUCAGGCAGUAGUCACAGUAAGAGGUCUUUGUUGGUUGGGGCCCACACAAAAGAAUUCUCUACCUGGGUCAAAUGAGAGCAGAUAAAUCGGACUAGACUGGUAGUGUUUUUCAGACUUCGUAAUGGAAGGAUGACUUUUCCAGACUGGGUCAGACACCCUAUGGUUUCACCCUGAGGACUCUAGCUCUGAGUACUCCGUCCUCUCUAGGACCCUCAUGCCUUGGCUUGUGCUGUUACCUCCUCUUGGAAUUUCUCCCCCAUCCACUGCUCUACUUAGCAAACUCUUGUCUUUCAAGACUUCUCAAAUGUAACCCUCUGAAGUCUUUCAUAGAGUCCCCCCGUAGAAUUAAUCAUUCUGUGGUCUGUUUAGUAUAAUCCUAUUGCUUGAUCUAUGUAACAUACUACACUGUAUUAUGCAUAUUUUUUAUGCCUCUUUCUCCCCUGAUAGAAUAUACUCUUUGCUAAGACAGGAAAUACGUCUUAUUUACCUCAUACCUCUCACACUAAAAAUGCUCAGGAGAAAAAUCUCGUGAAUGAAUAAAGACAUGGUUUU
ensembl:lncRNA